UCCAGGGUAGCCUAGUGGACAUGGCAUCUGCCCAGUAAGCGGAACAGAGUGGUUUCGAUUCCCAUUCCUGGAC
rnacentral:tRNA from 1 species